AGUCACUGACAUUAGAUACCCGGGUAGUCCAGGGUGUAAACGCUGCAGACUUGGUGUUGGAAGUCCUUCGAGGGUAUUCAGUGCCGGAGAGAAGUUGUUAAGUCUGCUACUUGGGAGUACGUCCGCAAGGAUGAAACUUAAAGGAAUUGGCGGGGGAGCACCGCAACGGGAGGAGCGUGCGGUUUAAUUGGAUUCAACGCCGGACAUCUCACCAGGAGCGACAGCUGUAUGAUUACCAGGUUGAUGACCUUGUUUGACUAGCUG
rnacentral:rRNA from 1 species